rnacentral:rRNA from 1 species
GCAAGUCGAGGGGUAACAGGGAAUGCUUGCAUUUCGCUGACGACCGGCGAACGGGUGAGUAAUGCAUAAGAAAUCUGCCCAUGAGACCGGGAUAGCCAUCCUAACGGAUGAUUAAUACCGGAUAGUAAUAUUUGAAGGCAUCUUUAGAUAUUUAAAUGCUUUAGUGCUCAUGGAUGAUCUUAUGUGACAUCAGCUAGUUGGUGAGGUAAUGGCUCACCAAGGCAAUGACGUCUAGCCGACCUGAGAGGGUGGUC